rnacentral:rRNA from 1 species
CAAUAGCGUAUAUUAAAGUUGUUGCAGUUAAAAGCUCGUAGUUGGAUUUCUGGUGGGAUCGUCCGGUCCGCUCCGCAAGGGGUGUGCACUAGCGACGCGUCCGGCCACUUUUGCGCCAAACGUUUCUGUCAUUAAGUUGUCGGGGACGGGAGGCGCAUCGUUUACUGUGAAAAAUUAGAGUGUUUAAAGCAGGCAAUCGCUGUGAAUACAUUAGCAUGGAAUAAUAAGAUAGGACUUUGGUGCUAUUUUGUUGGUUUGCACACCAAGGUAAUGAUUAACAGGGACAGUUGGGGGUAUUCGUAUUUAGAUGUCAGAGGUGAAAUUCUUGGAUUUUCGAAAGACGAACUUCUGCGAAAGCAUUUACCAAGGAUGUUUUCAUUAAUCAAGAACGAAAGUUAGGGGAUCGAAGAUGAUCAGAUACCAU